GGGUGAUGAAGGAUCAGACGUUGGUGCAGUUUUAGGUGCUCUAUCACAAGUCAUUACCAAUUUGCUUGGUCCUGGAGGUUUGGAUAUUCCUGGAUUAGUUUCCAGUGGAUCGGCUUUAGUAGCUAGUCUUCUUGCUGGUGACGAAAAUUUCGGAAAAGUUCUCGGAAACAUAGUUGGU